rnacentral:rRNA from 1 species
UGAGGAAUAUUGGUCAAUGGGCGAGAGCCUGAACCAGCCAAGUAGCGUGCAGGAUGACGGCUCUAUGGGUUGUAAACUGCUUUUAUAUGGGAAUAAAGUGAGGGACGUGUCCCUUAUUGCAUGUACCAUACGAAUAAGGACCGGCUAAUUCCGUGCCAGCAGCCGCGGUAAUACGGAAGGUCCAGGCGUUAUCCGGAAUUAGUGGGUGUAAAGGGAGCGUAGGCUGUUUGAUAAGCGUGUUGUGAAAUGUAAGAGCUAAACUAUUAGAUUGACGCGCGAACUGGAGGACUAGAGGGAGAACAACGUAGGCGGAAUUCAUGGUGUAGCGAUAAAAUGCUUAGAUAUGUUGAAGAACUAAGAAUGCGAAGGAAGGUUACGGGAGCGCAACUGUAGCUGAAGCUCGAAGGAGCGGGUAUCGAGCAGG